UAGGGAAUAUUGGACAAUGGGCGAAAGCCUGAUCCAGCCAUGCCGCGUGAUGGAUGAAGGCCCUCUGGGUUGUAAACAUCUUUUAUCAGGGAAGAAACACCUCGUUUCUACGAGGCUUGACGGUACCUGAUGAAUAAGCACCGGCUAACUCCGUGCCAGCAGCCGCGGUAAUACGGAGGGUGCAAGCGUUAUCCGGAUUUACUGGGUCUAAAGGGUGCGUAGGCGGGAAAAUAAGUCAGUGGUGAAAGCA
rnacentral:rRNA from 1 species